AAGCCGGGUGCGCGCUGCCGGGGCCGCCGGGCAGAGGUGCUCGAGCCCCGAGCCCGAGGGGCUCCCACGCAGCUCCCACGAGACCGGGAGAAAGGCCCGAGCGCCCGCCCUACGCGUCCCCCUCGCGAAGGCGCUCGAUCGUGGCCGGUCCCCUUCAGGAAGCCGCGAGCGUCACCAACUGCGUCAGCUUCUUCAAACACCGUGCCCUGUCUCUCUCCAGCCCGGGAGCCGCCACCGCGGGGUUAGGGCCGCGGGCCGCGCUGGCAGGCGCGUCUCGGGGAGGAGAAAGUUCCCGGGGACCUUCCCGUCGCCCGCUCGGCCCAGCCGCCCCGCCCGCACCCGUGCCCUGGCGUGGGCAACUUGGGACCCCCGGCUGCGCGCGGCCCCCGCAGCCCGCUGAGCUCGCAGGGCUCCCGCGGGGGAUCUAGCCCAGGGCCCAGCGGAAGAACAGCCGCGCUCGAAAGUUCCCAAAGCCGGGAAGCCACCGGGGUCCCCGAGCAUCGCUCUUACCUAGCUCUCGGGAGGCCACGUUCCGGGCGGGCCGCACGGGGCGCGUGGUGCACGAGCGCGCGCGCGUGGGGCGGUAGCUCUCGAGGCAGAAGUCUGACACCAGGGUGCUGUUGAGGCCCGAGUUCUGUGAGAGUACACCUCCUUUCAGGAAUGCAAUUGGUCAAUUCCUUGCAUCUUGGCAGUGGAAAGAGGGUUUCUUUCUGAAAUCGGGUCUCAGCACCACUCUAGGGAGAGGAGAAUACGUCACGGUUAAAUGCGCUGGUGAGAAACCAAGACUCAGAGAAGCCACAUAUCAGAGGAGUGCUACAUGACCUAUAACAAGAGGAAGCCUGAGGCAAUCCCAAGACAUAUCCUUCAUUUCUUCUUUAUGAGUUGAGUUAGGACACCUGAAAAUACUACUAUGUAAAAUGUAUAAGUACCUUCUCCCAAAAUGGUAAAGUUUUCAUAUUAGUGUUUUUUUUUUAAAUACAUAUUUCCGGAGGGAUAGGAAUUUCAGGAAUGAAAAAAAUCAUGCACAGGCAGAUAAGAGUGGUGAAGAACUGGGUUGUAUCACUUGAUGAUCCUAUUUCUUUCCUAGGGGUCCUUGCUGAAGUAUCUGCUGCACAGUACAAUCUCAACAAUGUUGAUGGCAGUGAUGCCUUCAGAAAGUUAAGUAACAAACCAUGGCCGUCAUUUUCACUGUCAGUGCUGAUAUGCCAGGAAGAAUUCGAACAAAUUGAUGAAUGUCACUGUGAUCAGAUACCUGACAAAAAAACAAUGUAAAGGGGAACGGGUUUAUUUUAGCCCCCGGCUUGGAGAAACACAGUCCAUCAUGGAAGCAAAGGUGUGGAGAUGGUGGAAGUGGCUUCACGAUGCAGACCAGGAAGCAAAGAAGAGAAUAAAUGCUAAUAUUCAGCUGGCCUUUUCCUCUUUUCCUUUUUAUUCAGUCAGGGACAUGAACCCAUGAGAUGGUGACACAGACAUUCAGGGAAGUUCUUACCUCCUCAGUUGAGCCUCUCUGGAAAUUCCUUCAAGAUACAUCUAGACAUGUGUCUCCUGGGUGUUUCAAAACUCAACUGAGUUGAUGAGGUAGCCACAAUAUACAUGUUGACAUGAAGGGCAUAUAUAAAACAUUUAUAGGCAUAGAGAAAUUACUUUGAGAGUUUCUUUCCAAAUCAGUUUUGAUCAU